CCUACGGGGGGCAGCAGUGAGGAAUAUUGGUCAAUGGGCGCGAGCCUGAACCAGCCAAGUAGCGUGAAGGAUGACUGCCCUACGUGUUGUAAACUUCUUUUGUAAAGGAAUAAAGUGUGGCACGAGUGCCUUUUUGAAUGUACUUUAUGAAUAAGCAUCGGCUAACUCCGUGCCAGCAGCCGCGGUAAUACGGAGGAUCCGAGCGUUAUCCGGAUUUAUUGGGUUUAAAGGGAGCGUAGAUGGGUUGUUAAGUCAGUUGUGAAAGUUUGGGGCUCAACCGUAAAAUUGCAAUUGAUACUGGAAGUCUUGAGUACAGGUGAGGUAGGCGGAAUUCGUGGUGUAGCGGUGAAAUGCUUAGAUAUCACGAAGAACUCCGAUUGCGAAGGCAGCUUACUAAACUGACACUGACAUUGAUGCUCGAAAGUGUGGGUAUCAAACAGGAUUAGAUACCCUUGUAGUC
rnacentral:rRNA from 1 species